rnacentral:rRNA from 1 species
GAUGAACGCUAGCGACAGGCUUAACACAUGCAAGUCGAGGGGCAGCAUAGAAGUAGCAAUACUUUGGUGGCGACCGGCGCACGGGUGAGUAACGCGUAUGCAACCUACCUAUCAGAGGGGAAUAACCCGGCCAAAGUCGGACUAAUACCGCAUAAAACAGGGGCACCGCAUGGUGAUAUUUGUUAAAGCAAUUCGCUGAUAGAUGGGCAUGCGUUCCAUUAGGUAGUUGGUGAGGUAACGGCUCACCAAGCCGACGAUGGAUAGGGGAACUGAGGGGUGGGACGCCCACAGAGGCACUGAGGCGCGGACCAGACUCCGACGGGGGGCAGCAGUGAGGAAUAUUGGUCAAUGGGCGAGAGCCUGAACCAGCCAAGUCGCGGAAAGGAAGAAGGAUCUAUGGUUCGUAAACUUCUUUUGCAGGGGAAUAAAGUGCGGGACGUGUCCUGUUUUGUAUGUACCCUGAGAAUAAGGAUCGGCUAACUCCGUGCCAGCAGCCGCGGUAAUAC